rnacentral:tRNA from 1 species
GUCGUUAGCUCAGUUGGUAGAGCACCUCCCUUACAAGGAGGGGGUCGGCGGUUCGAUCCCGUCAUCACCCACCA